CCCCCCCCCGCCCCUGCUCCGUGGCAGGGUGAGCAGAAGGGACUGCAGCCGCCACCCAGAGCAGGCCGACCAGCUGAGCAGGGCUGCGGGCCCCCCGGGGCAGAGAUGGGCCUGGCAAUGGAGCACGGGGGUGCCUACUCGCGGGCAGGGGGCAGCCCGAGGGGCUGCUGGUACUACCUGCGCUACUUUUUCCUCUUUGUGUCGCUCAUCCAGUUCCUCAUCAUCCUGGGCCUUGUCCUCUUCAUGGUCUACGGCAACGUGCACGUGAGCACAGAGUCCAACCUGCAGGCCACCGAGCGCCGGGCCGAGGGCCUGUACAGCCAGGUCGUGGGGCUCACGGCCUCCCAGGCCAACCUGUCCAAGGAGCUCAACCUCACCUCCCGCGCCAAGGACACCAUCAUGCAGUUGCUGCUGAGUACCCGCCGUGACCUGGACCGGAUCAAUGCCAGCUUCCGCCAGUGCCAGGCUGACCGGGUGAGCUACAUGAACAACCAGCAGUACAUGGCGGCCAUCAUCUUGAGCGAGAAGCAAUGCCAAGAACAACUCAAGGGGACUAACAAGAGCUGCAAUGCCUUGCUCCUCAUGCUGAACCAGAAGGCCAAGAUGCUGGAGAUGGAGGUGGCAAAGGAGAAGGAAGUGUGCACCAGAGACAAGGAGGGGCUGGUGCUGAACAAGCGAGUGGUGGAGGAGCAGCUGAUGGAGUGCAGCAAGGCCCGGGAGCAGCUGCUGCAGGAGCGACAGCUGGCUGAGGACCGCCUGCAGAAGGUGCAGGCCCUCUGCCUCCCGCUGGACAAGGACAAGUUUGAGACGGAGCUGCGCAGCCUCUGGAGGGACUCCAUUGUCCCACGCACCCUGGACACGAUGGGCUAUAAUCUGUACCAUCCUCUAGGCGUGGACUUACCCUCCAUCCGAAGAAUCUGCGACCACAUGCCCACCCUCAUGGCCACCAAGGUGGAGGAGCUAGCCCGGAGCCUGCGGGCCGGCAUAGAGCGCGUGGCCCGCGAGAACUCGGACAUCCAGCGCCAGAAGCUAGAGGUCGAGAAGGGCCUGCGGGCCAGUCAGGAGGCCAAGGAGAAGGUGGAGAAGGAGGCCCAGGCCCGGGAGGCCAAGCUCCAGUCCGAAUGCGCCCGGCAGACACAGCUAGCCCUGGAGGAGAAGGCAGCACUGCGGAAGGAGCGAGACAGCCUGGCGAAGGAGCUGGAGGAGAAGAAGCGGGAGGCAGAGCAGCUCAAAAUGCAACUGGCCGUCAGCAACUCUGCCCUGGACACCUGCAUCAAGGCCAAGGAACUCAGACCCAGGUAUCCAAGGACGUGGAGGAGCAGGAACCUCCCUGGCACUCUGGUUCAGGGGCCCUGGCUUCUGUCAACCUCCCUCCAUCUUUCUUCCCACAGUCGCAGCCGAUGCCUAUACCAAGACCUGUGGGUCCUGUCCCCAACCCCCAGCCCAUCGACCCAGCUGGCCUGGAGGAGUUCAAGAGAAGGAUCCUGGAGUCCCAGAGGCCCCCUGCAGGCAAUGCUAUAGCUCCACCCAGACUGAGGAGGCCCACGUCCCAGUCCCACCCUCAACAAGUAGGAGUCUAAUGGGAAGGCUGAACCCCAAAAGAGCCGAAGAGUCCUUGGAGCGGCUGAGGAGGCUCCAGGCCCUGAGGACCCAGGUGUGGCCCCGCCUGGCCGGUCUGCGGACGCACAGCAGCAAGAUGCCCACGCGCAGCCUGCAGCCAGGGCCUCGGCCGGCCGAACGCCCGCGCACACGCCAGAGCGGCUGCCCUUGGCCUCCACCCCACGCCCGUCCCUCCCCACACCCCGCGACGCCCUCUGAUACUCUCACAGCCCCUCGCCAACAGACACAGCAGUGAUGUCCCAUCUGGAUGCAGUGACGUCACACACACACCUUCUGCCCAGCCCUUGCCCCAUGUCGCCCCCUUCCCAGGCGCUCACAGCAUCCCCCCAUCUGCACACCCCCAUGCUCCCGCCACAGCACCCUCCGAUUUUCUCGUCUUCCGACUCCUCACCCCCAGUGUGCGGGGCCUAGGGGAAGUGGGGACGGGAAGCCAUUAGCCUCCACUCCCCCGCACCCCCCCACCCCUGCGGGAGAGUCUCCAGGCUCCCCUGCCAGGCCGCACCCGGACCCAGAGCAAAUGUCCCCCCCUGACCCCAUCAAAGCCCGCGACCCCGCGACGGCAGCUGCCCCUUGUCCCUCUCCCCCCACACCCAGCCCUGCCUGUGGCCCAUAUAAAUGUUAGUGGCACUAAAUAAAUAUCGAAUCCUU